UACAGAGGUCUCAAGCGUUGUUCGGAUUCAUUGGGCGUAAAGGGUGUGUAGGUGGCGCCGUAAGUCGGGUGUGAAAUUUCGGAGCUUAACUCCGAAACUGCAUUCGAUACUGCGGUGCUUGAGGACUGGAGAGGAGACUGGAAUUCAUGGUGUAGCAGUGAAAUGCGUAGAGAUCAUGAGGAAGACCAGUGGCGAAGGCGGGUCACUGGCCCGGUACUGACGCUGAGGUGCGAAAGCGUGGGGAGCAAACAGG
rnacentral:rRNA from 1 species